CCCCGGAGGCGUCUGGGUGUGCGGAGCGCGCGCGCGCGAGCGGGGCUCGGAGGCGCACCUGUGAGGUGUCCCCCGAGGAGCGGGCCGGUGGGCGCGCGGAGUCCGCGGCCUAGACGAGCUGCUCCGCCGCACUUGGGAGUGAGUUGGACCGGCGGACGCCGGUGCGUGUCACCGCACGGUCCCGGCCGAGGUCGCCCAGCGUCCCGCCGAGGUGAUGAGGACCUCCCCGCGGCCCCAGCAAGCCUGGCUGCUGCCGCCGGACUCCUCCAUUGUCUGACCACCUCCUGGGCCCGGCUCUCCGCAGACCUGCAAGUCCAAGAGACAUCGUCCCACUGGAAGAUAAGAGAACUGCCUCUUCAGGAUUGAAAAAAGAAACCAGUGUGCUACUCUAUAGAGUUCCCAGGAGCAAGACUGGCUGUGCCUGGAGCCAAGGAACCUUCAUGCUGUCAAGGCCUGUCAUCUGAUGGGCAGAAGGCAGAGCGACAUUCUGACUCAACUGAAGGUGCUGCCAGGGCUCACCACCAGCUGGCACCUUCUGCCCUGGGGAAACAGAUCACACUACACAGGCUUUGUUUUAUGAGUGAAAAGUAGAAGAGUACUGAACAUCAGAAAGACUCCGGGGGUUCAAAACAAAGGCUUACUCCUUCCUGCCCCUGGAAUGUUGACUGCAAGGGAUCUAAAGGAAAGAAAGCUCUGUGCUGGUGAGCUGUGGGAUUCAUAUGAAAGUCAGUGUGACUUUGUAAUCAGUAAGAGCUCUGAGUGAGGAACACUAUGCAGGAAGAAGCCUUCCACAGAAAGACAGGCAGGGAGAAGCUGAGGUUGAUGGUAAGCUUGCCCAAUAGAGCAAGCCUGAGAUAGAUUGCCAAGAUGGCAAAAUAGUAGGCUUUAUGAAGUAGCAGUCCUGAAACUCAUAGUUGUAAGGACACUUUCUUCGCUAAGUCACGAUACCAAA